CGGGGGAGCAAGCGUUGUUCGGAAUUACUGGGCGUAAAGGGCUCGUAGGCGGCCAACUAAGUCAGACGUGAAAUCCCUAGGCUCAACCUAGGAACUGCGUCUGAUACUGGAUGGCUUGAAUCCGGGAGAGGGAUGCAGAAUUCCAGGUGUAGCGGUGAAAUGCGUAGAUAUCUGGAGGAAUACCGGUGGCGAAGGCGGCAUCCUGGACCGGCAUUGACGCUGAGGAGCGAAAGCCAGGGGAGCAAACGGGAUUAGAUACCCCGGUAGUCCUGGCCCUAAACGAUGAAUGUUUGGUGUGACGGGUAUCGAUCCCUGUCGUGCCGAAGCUAACGCAUUAAACAUUCCGCCUGGGGAGUACGGUCGCAAGGCUG
rnacentral:rRNA from 1 species